AAUUUAUGGAUUACAUCAAUGAGCUCCCUUGAACCCUGGAUUCUGGUAGGCAUCAUCAGGCAAGAAGCACUGGCAUGAGAUUAGAGAGCAAAAAGAGAAUAUUCAGCCAACUGUCUUCCUGCUGGAUGGCCAAGGAAUGAUUAUAUUCCUCUAAUGAAGGCCACAGCUUCUGUAAAGUGAGUGGCUCUCUUUUAUAGCUAGAGAUUUUGCUUCUG
rnacentral:lncRNA from 1 species